rnacentral:rRNA from 1 species
UACGAGGGGGGCGAGCGUUGUUCAGAAUUAUUGGGCGUAAAGGGUGCGUAGGCGGUUUGGUAAGUCUCUUGUGAAAUCUAUGGGCUCAACUCAUAGUCUGCAAGGGAAACUGCCGGGCUUGAGUGUGGGAGAGGUGAGUGGAAUUUCCGGUGUAGCGGUGAAAUGCGUAGAUAUCGGAAGGAACACCUGUGGCGAAAGCGGCUCACUGGACCACAACUGACGCUGAUGCACGAAAGCUAGGGGAGCAAACAGG